AAACAGCUCUGGAGAAAAAAAAAUAACAACUUUAGAAGGCCUAGACAGAAGGGAGAUCGUCCAGAUUCAACCUCCAAAGGCAGACCCGACAAAGAAGUGACUUGGUACGAAUCCAAAGAACUUGAACACUACAUAAACGAAUGUCCAAAGAUCAAGAAGGACAACUUCGGAAAGGAAAUCUUCAAGAAGAACUCCUUCAAAUCAAAUAAGAAGGGACUCAUGGCAACAUGGG
rnacentral:lncRNA from 1 species